UACGGGGGGGGCAAGCGUUGUUCGGAAUUACUGGGCGUAAAGGGCUCGUAGGUGGCCAACUAAGUCAGACGUGAAAUCCCUCAGCUUAGCUGGGGAACUGCGUCUGAUACUGGAUGGCUUGAGUUUGGGAGAGGGAUGCGGAAUUCCAGGUGUAGCGGUGAAAUGCGUAGAUAUCUGGAGGAACACCGGUGGCGAAGGCGGCAUCCUGGACCGGCAUUGACGCUGAGGCGCGAAAGCCAGGGGAGCAAACGGG
rnacentral:rRNA from 1 species